rnacentral:lncRNA from 10 species
UUUUAUUAUCUCAUACAGGUUUUGAGAAUCAGGAAUUGGAAAUGGCUUAGCUGAGUGGUUAUGGCUUGGGGUCUUUCUUGAAGUUGCAGUCAAGAUGUUGGCCUGGGCUGCAGUCAUCUGAAGGUUGGACUGGUGCUGGAAGAUCUGCUUCCAAGAUGGCACACUGCAUGGUUAUUGGUAGAACGCCUUAGUUCCUCACCAUGAGAGCCUCUCCAGAGGGCUACUUGAGUGUCCUCAUGACAUGAAAGCUGGCCUCCCCCACAGAGUGAGUGCUUCAGAGAGAGCAAGGAGAAAGUCAAAUACUUUUCAUGAUCUGCACCAUCACACACCACUGCUUCUGUCACAUUCUCUUCAUUAUAAUCAAGUCAUUAAGUUCAGCUCACAUUCAAGGGGAGGAGACUUAGGCUUCACCUGUUGGAGGGAGUAGUAUCAACAAAUUUGUGGACAUACUUUAAAACUCUCACACUACUCUAGGAAGGAAGGAAGGAAGGAAGGAUGGGACGGAGGGAGGGAGGGAGGGAGGAAGGAAGGAGGGAAGAAAGAAAGAAAGAAAGAAAGAAAGAAAGAAAGAAAGAAAGAAAGAAAGAAAGAAAGAAAGAAAGAAAGACCUUUUCCCCUUGUCCCCAUCCCAAUAAACAGUCAAACCCUAGCUUUCUGUUUCUGAAUGCCAUUGCCAGAGGAUAUUUUUAAGAGUGUCUAUAUUUUAGCGCAUGAAACCAAAAUCACUUGGAAGGUAAUAACCCUCAGUUCUUCUCCCUUAUCAACCCCAACACUUGCUGGAAAUGGAGGAAACAGAAGACUCUGACUGACUCUGAGAGAGAGAGGAGCUCCCCAAAACUGAAUGGGCAAUAGGGAUGGGGGUAUGGAUUCUUCCCUUCCAAAUUCCAACUCCAAAGAAUGGCAGAGCCCUGCCUACAGAUAUCCACAUGGUCUCCAACAGGGGAAAUUGUUGGAUGCCUGUGGAGGUGGCCACUAGGACUGAGGCCUCAAAGGUAGUAGGGGGUCUCUGUGGUAUCGCCCACCAUCCACUGAGAGGCACCUGCAAGGCCCUGAAGGGCCUUCUGGGAGCCUCAAGGACCACCAGAGAGCAAGAACAGGCUGACCACAGCAUCCCAACACCAAAACUACCCCAGUACCUUAGAGGCAGUCAGAGACUGAAGCCUCUUCCCCACUUGUAGGUGUCCAGGACCCAUCCCAGCACCCUCCUCCCCAAUCAUUCUAACAUGCCUGUAAGGAAGAAUAGGACGACCCCAUGUAGGCUGACCUGGGUAGGAAAUUCUCUCCACCUUGAAGAGUGAGACUCAGAAAAUAUAUGACCUGCUUUAGAACAAAUGAAAUAUCUGAACAACUCAUUGAGCAUCACAGUCUUUGUUCCUAAGCUCUCUUGAAAGUCAGGCAGAAUUUUAAUCAAACAAAAACAACAAACAAGGGUGAGAAGGGAAAGAACUACUGUGUCUGUUAGCCCAACUGUCUGUCAGGAAAUUGAGGCACGCGAUUUUAUUUAACCCUCAUGGUGGGAAUUCUUAUUCCCAUUUUACAGCUGGAAAAAGGACAGCAGAUUUAUGGAAUACCUUCAUAUGUCAGGCAUUUGCCUGCAGCUUUAGAAUCUUCCAACAACACUGCAAUGAGCUAUUAUUACGUCUUACAAAUGAGGAAUUGGAGACUCAGAGAACCUAGAAAAGCAGCCCAAGACCACAGAGCAAGCGAUAGAGUCAGCUGCCCAGAGCUGAGUCUCUCCUUGCUGAGAAAGAAUCAAGAAAGAAUCUUUGUUUAAUGCAUCAUCGUCUGUCUUUAAAAGAAUCAAUAUUUAUCUCCUGCCAAAAGUCCUCAGUUGCCAUCCUGUCCUUGCAGCUCCUGAGAGCUUCCUGAGGAGUGUUGAGGGGGCAAAGGGUGGCCGGAGAGGAGUGCCCUGAGCCUCACAGACAGUGGUGCCCACCGCAGGGACCGGGAGAGCCACUGUCAGCUCCACAAAGCGCUUCUGUGGUAAUUUGACAGGAUUAAGGGGAUUAAUACAUUAAUGCAUUAUUAGCACUUUUAUAGGAGAUUUUCAGCGAGUUGAGCACGGUGAUCCCUAUUUCCUGUUAUAUAAACCGGCAGUAAUUGUCUUAAUUGGCCCAUUGUUGCUGAUGGGAGCAGAAAGGGAACAGCCUGAUUAUCUCCUGGCCUGUGGUUCUGAGUCUGGCCACAGCUCCAGGCCAAGCCAGGAAGGCUCGGGGAAACUGAGUCUGAGUGUGGCUCUCUAAACAUCUAGUUCUAUGGGAGGUGCAAUCCAGAGUCUCUGCUCCAACCAGUGGAGCAGAAAGUUACCCCGGGAGAACCCAAAGGCCAGGAUUCCAGCUCCCACUGUGCAGCUCACUGACUGGCGACUUGGCCACCCUAAGCCUCCAUUUCUACACCUACCAAUGUGGAUGGUGAUUAAAUCCACCUCAUGGUGUUGCUGAAAAAAUGCAGUGAGCCACUGUCAGUGAACAUGCUUUGGCAAUGGGGCAGGCCUGUGCUCAUAGGAGGGAGGGUUAUCAUUUAUUUGGAUGGACUGAAUUGGGGAUUUUGCCUUUUGAUGUUCAUCUGUUGGGAGAGAAUAAUAACAUCCCCCAAGGGAAAGUAGGUGGAAUAUGCAGGAGGGCCUGGAAGACAUCCCUGGGGGCAAGGCAGCCAGGCAAGGUAAGGCCAGUGGGUUGUGAAGGGUCCAGCAUGCUCCAACACUGAGGCCCAGACACCUCACGUCCCUCCUACCAGCCGAGCAGCAGGUCACACAAGAAGAUGUCUGCAACUGUGGAACCCAGUUCCCUGGGGUUUAAUUUUCUUUGCUAAUUAAGUGUCUGAGUCGGACCCCCUGCAGGAGGUAUGUGUCUGCAGCUUCAUGGAUGAGAAUAAUAAUAAAGCCCUAGAAUCACAGCUUCAGAGGGGUCCUGAAAGGACUUUUCCUAGAAACAAACAAACAUAUCUUUUAUCUUCCUCUCUCUACGAAUCUAGGCUGGGUUGCAGGAAAGAUGGUGUCAGAGGGCCCCAAGCUUUGUUAUCUGGAAGAGAAUGACCUGGUGGAUUGGGAGGUCUGGGUGAUCACUCUGACUGAGAAGCCAAGGAUGAAAUACAAGGUGAAGAGUAGCAAAGAGACAAGAUUGGGGUGGAUGCAAUAGUUAGUGGACAAGCCUAACUGUUGUGAAGUCUGAGCUCAAGUAGGGAUCAUAGCCAUGGAGCAAAGGGGAUGAGACUUGAAUCACCUAGACUUGGUAACCCAUCCAGGAAGCAUGAGGAACAGAAAUAAGAUGCUGUGCACAAAUAUUUCUGGUUCCCCCAUUUCUGGGCACAUAGUGGGUUUGCAAGUUCUGCUCCCCUUGUGGUUGAUGGAGCCAUGUGGCCAGCUCUGGCAGAUGUGUUGGGAGUGUAAGGGCCAGAUGUCACUUCUUGGCUGAAUAGUUAAUUAUCAGUGUGAGAUCCUUCUUCUUCUCCAGGCCCAACAACUGGCAAAGUUUGCAAUGGUGGCUCUUCCAUUGGCCUAGGACCCUGAGUGGUUAUAGUAAGCGUGGAUCACCUGGCAAGCUGCACUAUACCUGUAGCAUGAACAACAAAUAAACCCUUGUUGUUUUAAGCCCCUAAGAAAUCGGAGUUAUUUGUUAUCAGUAUACAACCUAGGCUGUCCUGACUGAUACAGAAAAUGUGAACUUUAUAGCCAGGGGCCAGUGAACACCAUCAGGAUAGUAACAUCCAUAUAAAAAAAAAAAAA